AACGAACGCUGGCGGCAGGCCUAACACAUGCAAGUCGAACGAUCCUUCGGGAUAGUGGCGGACGGGUGAGUAACGCGUGAGAAUCUGCCUUCAGGUCUGGGACAACAGAAGGAAGCUUCUGCUAAUCCGGGAUGAGCCUUUUGGUAAAAGAUAAAUUAGCCUGGAGAUGAGCUCGCGUCUGAUUAGCUAGUUGGUGUGGUAAAAGCAUACCAAGGCAACGAUCAGUAGCUGGUCUGAGAGGAUGAGCAGCCACACUGGGACUGAGACACGGCCCAGACUCCUACGGGAGGCAGCAGUGGGGAAUUUUCCGCAAUGGGCGAAAGCCUGACGGAGCAAGACCGCGUGGGGGAGGAAGGCUCUAGGGUUGUAAACCCCUUUUCUUGGGAAGAAGAAGUGACGGUAACCAAGGAAUCAGCCUCGGCUAACUCCGUGCCAGCCGCCGCCGUAAC
rnacentral:rRNA from 1 species